CCCGUAUUGGCUUCACCUCUGGCCGGUUCCGUGUGUCCGCCGACUUCUCGGAGUGCAGUUAGUCGCUGAACAUGGGCCUUAUGACCGACCACAGCAGAGCGCAGAUCUCGGGCGUAACAGGGGGCGGCAACAUCAAGGCGUCUUGGUCCCAGUUCCGACGAACGCUGCUGUUUUGUUUAGUUCUGUUUUGUGUUUGUGUUUGUUUUAUUCCGUGUGUGAGUCGGCUGUGUUUAGCCACCACGAAGUCAGCCCUCGUUGAUUAACUGAAGUGACGACAGGUGUGCUGCUGUUUGCUCACGAGUGACUACGAAUUCAGUUCGGUUAUGGAGGCUAAUUCCUUAGCUUGUUGCACUGCGUGUCAUGAUUUGUCACCAUAAGCCUGCGUGAGUGAUUGUGAUGAUUACACUGUUUGCUGUGACAACUGAGUGCUGUGCAUUGUAGUGCUGUGUAUUCACGAGUGUCUCAUUCCCUGAAUAGCCACCAUACUGACUUUAGCGAACUCACUCUGGAGAGUACUACUGCUGUUUAGCGAAUCCACACUGGAGAACCAUACUGACUUUAGCGAACUCACUCUGGAGAGUACUACUGCUGUUUAGCGAAUCCACACUGGAGAAUAAUACUGACUUGAGCGAAC